UACGUAGGGGGCAAGCGUUGUCCGGAAUCAUUGGGCGUAAAGCGCGUGUAGGCGGCCCGAUUAGUCCGCUGUGAAAGUCCAGGGCUCAACCCUGGAAUGCCGGUGGAAACUGUCGAGCUAGAGUCCGGAAGAGGCGAGUGGAAUUCCUGGUGUAGCGGUGAAAUGCGCAGAUAUCAGGAGGAACACCAAUGGCGAAGGCAGCUCGCUGGGACGGUACUGACGCUGAGACGCGAAAGCGUGGGGAGCAAACAGG
rnacentral:rRNA from 1 species